rnacentral:rRNA from 1 species
AUGAAGUUAAGAGGAUCGAGAGUAAAGCAGGCCGACUCUGGUUCACCAGGGACCUUCAGUGCGCCUGUUAGGAAGAAAAGAGGGACAAGAGCACCUCCAUCUUCUAGAUGUUUACGUGGUAAAAAGGAUGAUAAUGUCAUGAGCAGUGACGACGCUAUUACAGAAGAAGGCCAUGCUGCCUCUCCUUCAAGCAGGAAGGCAAAAGAACAAGAUCACGGAGAGAUAGCUGUUGGAAGCUCAGCUGAUCCCACAGGCCAGAGUAUCUCUGUAAACGAAGCACGUGAAAACUCGAGGGCAUUGAAAAAUACUUCUAAUGUGCAAACAACUGCUGUUAAGAAGACUACUGCUGAGGAUAAAACUUCUCGAGCAAUCAUGGAUGAUCAGGUUUUUAAUGCAGAAACGGAUUCCACGUCUUCAGAUGAUGAGAGUACCGAAGAAGUUGAGGAUGUGAAAGUUUGUGACAUAUGUGGAGAUGUUGGUGAUGAGGUGAAGCUUGCUGUUUGCAAUAGAUGCAACGAUGGUGCUGAGCAUACUUAUUGUAUGCGGGUAAUGAUGGAAAAGGUUCCGGAUGGUGAUUGGUUUUGUGAAGAGUGCCAAACUGAAGUAGAAUUUGAAAAGGAGAAGUUAGAAAAACCUCAGGUGAAGCUUGUCACUUCAAAGGAAGAAUCUGUUCAAGGGAAAAUUAGUAAACCUUUCAAUGAUGCAAACAGCAGAAGUCCUUGUGAGAAUGAAGUGGAGGAUGAAACUGUUGGCAGAAAAGAACGGAAUGAAGCAAAUCAAGGCAUUGAUAUGGUUGAAGAUGCAAAGAUUCCGCCUGUGGCUAAACAAAAUAUUCCUGAACCUGGUGGUUUAUCAAUGGAGUCUUACUCCAGAAAAGGAAUACCUCUGCUAUGCGAGAGCUCAUUCAGGUUGGAUAUGGAGAAAGGAAAGCAACCUACUCCCCAAGUGCCAACCUUACUGGGGUCUAAUGCUAGCAAGAAUCAGGCACCACCACUUACUGGUCAACUCUCCAAGUCCACUUCUUUCAACAACUCUAAGGUGCCCAAGGUGAAGCAACUAGUGAAUGAAGUUCCUCAGAAGACCAAAACUUUGAAAGAUCAGUUGUCCUGUAGUAUGAGAAAAGAGGGGCCAACGAGCUUUUCAACCAAGUCAGCAUCAUUCAAAAAGCCCAAAACUUGUGAGCCAGCAAAUAAGGCAAAGUCUUCCAUCAUACCACCUUCUGAGGAGCUAAGUGUGAUGAAUUUACCAGUGAGCCGAAAUGUAAGUAAUGAUAGAGGCACUUCUAUAUUAGGAUGCCCCUCAAUUACUGGACCACUGGCUUUUCCAGUUCAAUCAAAAGCCGAAUCUGCAGCUCAGCGCCUCACUACAGGAAAUAACAUGUAUGGCACUAGCAAUUCAGGCCAUUUUACCCAAUUUUGUGGUGUUGAUAAAUUAGGUUUGUCUGCAAUGAAACCUCUGAGUGAGCGAAACUUGAAGGAUGCCUCUGCCAAAAAGAAUAAAACGUCUGAAGCUACUGAGAAAGCUACUUCCAGAUCAGCAGAUCAAUCUGAUCGCAUCCUCAAAUGUGGUCCUUAUCAUGACACAGUAUACAGGCCUAAAGAUACGUCAUCUGGAAGAUCUGUUCCCAGCAGUUCUACCAUAUCAAGUGAUCUGAUGGACAAAUCGAGUCGAUGCUUUUCACCUGUUGAUAACACAAUAGUUUCAACCGUUCCAGAGUUGGAUUAUAUUUGGCAGGGUGAUUUUGAGCUGUGGAGGACUGGACGAUCACCUGAGCUAUGUGAUGGUUUUCAAGCUCACUUAUCAUGUUCUGCUUCACCAAAAGUGCUGGAAGUAGCAAAGAAAUUCCCUUCCAGAGUCCAGCUUGAAGAACUACCCCGUCGAAACUCAUGGCCCACGCAGUUUCAACAAAAUGGGCCCACAUAUGAGAAUAUUGGUGUUUUCUUCUUUGCUAGAGAUGCUCAGAGCUAUGAACAUCAUUACAGUAAAUUGGUUCAGAAUAUGCUAAUCAAUGAUUUGGCACUCAGAGGAAAUAUCGAAACAGCCGAAUUAAUUAUAUUCCCUUCUAACAUCCUAUCAAAGAACUCUCAAAGGUGGAACAUGUUUUAUUUUCUAUGGGGUGUAUUUAAAGUGAAAAGAGGAGAUCACUGGAACCUUCCACUUGAUGUACCAAUAAGUAAAUGUGAACCUAAUUUGAACGAGGAUCCCAUGACCGUGGAUCCGCAUACCUCUGUUUUGUCAUCAAGCCGUUCAUCGUCUGAAGACCAAAAUAAUGGCACUGAUCCAGCCUGCUAUUUGGUUAAGCCAGCUACUUCUGCAGACCAUCAAUGUCUGCAAACUUCGGAAGCUAAUCGUCAGGGAUGUUCAAAUGGAGAUAACUCCACUGCUCCGGCAGGAAAACACAAGAUAAUUGCAUAUCCAGACUCUCAAAAGAAAAUGUGCGAUGGUGGCAAUGUUGUCGAACCCAUUUUUGAUGUAAAUACGAUGCCAGUUACUUGCUCUAUCUCAUCAAUCGGCAAACAAGAUAAUCAGAACAGAGCCAUCAACCUUAACAAUGCAGAGAGCCUGAUGGAUGUAGAUCAUGCAAAUAGUAUUGAUCUGAACUCAGGUACAGUGGAUCUUGUUUCACAUGCAUCACGUAGUGCACAAAAAAGAAAUGUGGACAUGGCAGACUGGAUUGACGGAGCCAAUGGAUCAGUGGACAAGAAAAUUAAAUUGGAUAAUGUAUCGUCCACUGUGGAGUCUAGUUUAAGUGGGAAGAUCAGAGAUGGAAGGUUGUCAUCCAAGGUACACCCUCUAGCAGCUUUACCUGUUCAUGAUUGCACAGACAAUAAGACCAUGCCAGGAAUCUCGAAGAGUAAUGGAAAGUGCACAUUUCCACUAGAUCUAAAUGUGGUGGAUGAUGCAGAUAUAGACAUGGAGGAUGAUGCAGCGACUGGAAAUAGCAUAACCGUCCUGUCUGAAGAUUUACCUGAACAGAACACACAAGAUCUUAAGCCAGCACUGGGGGACAACAUAUCUUCUAGAAAGCCCAUGGUUGAAGAAAAGUUGAAUAAAGGAGAUACACCGCCUACUGAUAUGUCAGGCGCGCUCUCCCUCUCCCUUGCUUUUCCAGUAUCAAAGGAACAAUAG